AAGCCAGCCAAUAAGUCUGCUCACCUGAAUGGGUUUCUGCAGAACUUUAGAGAGAGUUGGCAAGAGUCAAGCCACAGUAUAAGCUUUAAAGACACCGAAGUCACUAAGCUCCCUGAAAAUGGCUGUAAGA